ACAGACUACAGAUAUACAUAAAUUUUAGGGUCUAAAGCACUUUAAUAUCCUAGAAUUAUAAAUACUGGUUAAUAUAUAUUACAUACUCCAGUUCCAAAUUUAAAUACAAUAUACAACCCGAUAUUACUCACCAGAAGGGCGGCCUGUAAGUCACAUAAUGAUAAAUAUGCCCUGCCAAUGUUAAAUUUUAUUUUGGCGGACGAAUCUUUCAUCUCUUUAAAUUUAUCCAGGGAACUUUGAAAGUCGCCUUCGUUAUAGCGCUCUACAGCCUGUUUCCAUAUCUGUAAAUUCUCUACCAAUGUCAUGAUUCGAUCGUUCAAGGUUAAAUCUUGAAAUCAAAAGUUAAUUAAAUAGCUGUAGCCACGGUAGCAAUCGCCAAUCGACGUCAUACACAAUACACAGGACGAAAUUCAAGGAUUUUGUAAGCACUCUCGAAGCCCGAUUCACAAGUUUGUUGUAACAGUGGCCGGCAGCAUAAAACAAGGACGAAUUAUACACGUAGAUCUUUAAUCCGAGACCAUAUAAUACACCCACAUUCGAUGUCAAAAUGUAUAUAUAUUAUUUCAAAACAUUGCACUUCACAAAAUUAUGUCAAACACAAUCGAAUUAUUAAA